rnacentral:lncRNA from 1 species
ACGAAGAUGAUGUUGAAGGGAUUCCUGACGAGAUUUCCCGACUUCUUGAGCAAGAGAAGAAGAUCACUCAGCUGCAUCUCGAGAAUCAGCAGAACAGCCAACUGGGGCAUUAUCAAAAACAAAAAAAGGAAGAAAAAAAGAGAAAAAAGAGAAAGAGGAGGGUGCAAAAUCAAAAAAAGAAAUCAAUCAAAAUCAAAAGAAAUCAAAAGAAAGAAAAAGAAAGGAAAAAAAAAACAAAAAAAAUAGCACCCUCAAAGUCCCAAGUUGGCUGAUGCUGAAUUCGGUCAAAAAGAAGAGAUCAACUGCCAUGUGUCAUGGUCAGUCAUAUCAGCAGAGAGUGAAAAAGCAUUCGACAAGAAGAUCAAGCCUCGUGUGUUC